CUGAGGUGCCCGACGCACAACAUUUUGAACGUGCCACGGAGGAUCAAGGCAAAAAACGAGAGCAAAAAAGGUAAGUCGAGGUUCAGAUAUAAAAAAUAGCAAGCUUAAUGAAUCGAUUGUGCAGCUGUCCUACUGCGCUUACUCUGAUAUAACCACGAUUAACAACACAAUAGUAUUGAUAAUCUAACUUCUGAAUUAUCACAGGUGCACGCUGAAGGCGGAAAUGAAGCAUGAUCUGGCUUGCAUCUGGUGCAUGAAGAAAUUGCUGACACGUUAGUUGCAGUCUACCUCCACCAACAGGGUGGAAAACAAAGGUCGCCAUUCCGAUUAGCUGCUAUCUCCCAGUUCAAGCACUUUUGCUGUCUGGACACUGGUUCCUGUGGAUGGGGUGUUACAAGCUUCACUGUCUGAUAUAGAAGUGAUGAGCAUCCAUAAGGACACAUGCCAGAAAGGGAGUCUCUUUGGGAUGACAAACCCUCAUCACCUCAUGAGGAUACAAUGGUUGACGAAUGGUUCUCAAGCACAUCGAAACUUCAACAAAUAAUUCAUGAAAAAGCCAGUCAGUGCUAGCACCAGGAAUUGAACGUGGACCGUCCUGCUACCAGUCAGAGAUGUUACAUUUCAGGCGCUCAUUGACUUUUGGUGAAUUACUUGUUGACUUUGUCCCAAGGUGGAGCUCGCCACAGCUCAUUUGCCUAUCUGUUAAUGUUGUGGCGUGUGUUGCGUUUUUCUCUUUGUGUGUUCCAGACUCAGAACGGUUAAUUUGGAUCAGGUCAGGUACGUUUCAUUUAGACAUGGCAAACAUAAAGUGGUGUUUCUCAACACAACUUAGCAGUGGCCUUCAUGCAUUACUGCUACGGCCAUUAAGCGUGAAUGGAAAGCUGCACAUUAUGCAUGAUGUAAAACCCCAAGACUAGGGAACACGAAGGGACAGACACAAACACGUCCCUUUGUGUUCCCUAGUCUCGGGGUUUUACAUAUGCAUCAUCUUCACCAGCUCGCUUGCUUCCUAGCCAUUUUUUCUGCACAUUAUGUUCACUCUACUUUUAUCGUGUGCUAUAAUCUUGUUCAAGUUCUGUCAAACGACGUGUAAUGCUAUAAAAAAAUUCAGUACACUGUUUAUGUGGGUUGAAUGGUAGCGCAUGAAUGCAGGAAGGAAACUGUCAUGUUAUGGCAAGUGUUUACGUAUUGUACAUUUAACUACUAAUUUUAUUGGUUAGCUUUCGCCGGCGUAUCAUGUCAAGCCAUGUUAUAUUAAUUUGGAACAUGUUCUUCUUAGUAGCCAGAGCAGCUGAUACACAGUGAGAACAUAGCCCGUGUGUGUUUGUCUUUUCCACCGCAGCCCUUGGGUUUCCUCCCUGAUGGCUACACAUGUCAGGGAUAGGUUUCAGAACCGGUAGUUCCCGCCAAGUGUGAAUUGCUUUUCAGGGGAUCAUCACGCUGGCAGAUGAAACAUAUGGUUUAAAUUAUUUGCAGGACAGGAAUUGCGUAGCUUCACACAAAUACUACUACUACGACGUAAGAGUGGUUUCAAAUCUAGCUUUUUUGUGUUCCUGACAUUAUCGCACAAGAUGUAAGUACU